rnacentral:rRNA from 1 species
UGCGUAGGUGGCGAGGUAAGUCGGAUGUGAAAUCUCCAAGCUCAACUUGGAAAUGGCAUUGGAAACUGCCCUGCUAGAGGAUCGGAGGGGGGACUGGAAUACUUGGUGUAGCAGUGAAAUGCGUAGAUAUCAAGUGGAACACCAGUGGCGAAGGCGAGUCCCUGGACGAUACCUGACACUGAGGCACGAAAGCUAGGGGAGCAAACAGGAUUAGAUACCCUGGUAGUCC